rnacentral:rRNA from 1 species
UCAGGACGAACGCUGGCGGCGUGCUUAACACAUGCAAGUCGAACGGUGAAGCGGAGCUUGCUCUGCGGAUCAGUGGCGAACGGGUGAGUAACACGUGAGCAACUACCCUUGACUCUGGGAUAACAGUUGGAAACAGCUGCUAAUACCGGAUAUGACCCUGGUGGACAUCCACUGGGGUGGAAAGCUCCGACGGUCAAGGAUGGGCUCGCGGCCUAUCAGCUUGUUGGUGAGGUAACGGCUCACCAAGGCGUCGACGGGUAGCCGGCCUGAGAGGGCGACCGGCCACACUGGGACUGAGAUACGGCCCAGACUCCUACGGGAGGCAGCAGUGGGGAAUAUUGCACAAUGGGCGAAAGCCUGAUGCCAGCAACGCCGCGUGCGGGAUGACGGCCUUCGGGUUGUAAACCGCUUUCAGCAGGGACGAAGGGUUUCUGACGGUACCUGCAGAAGAAGCACCGGCUAACUACGUGCCAGCCGCUGC